UACGUAGGGUGCAAGCGUUGUCCGGAAUUACUGGGCGUAAAGCGCGCGUAGGCGGCUUUGUAAGUUAGAGGUGAAAGCCCGGAGCUCAACUCCGGAACUGCCUUUAAAACUGCAUCGCUUGAAUCCAGGAGAGGUGAGUGGAAUUCCGAGUGUAGAGGUGAAAUUCGUAGAUAUUCGGAAGAACACCAGUGGCGAAGGCGGCGCACUGGACUGGUAUUGACGCUGAGGUGCGAAAGCGUGGGGAGCAAACAGG
rnacentral:rRNA from 1 species